AACGAACGCUGGCGGCGUGCCUAACACAUGCAAGUCGAGCGAGAAAGGGCUUCGGCCCCAGUACAGCGGCGCACGGGUGAGUAACACGUGGGUAAUCUACCCCUGAGUGGUGGAUAACCCUCCGAAAGGAGGGCUAAUACAGCAUAAGACCACGGCGUCCUCGGAUGUCGCGGCCAAAGCGGGCCUCUUCAUGAAAGCUCGUGCUCGGGGAUGAGCCCGCGGCCCAUCAGCUUGUUGGCGAGGUAAAAGCUCACCAAGGCAAAGACGGGUAGCUGGUCUGAGAGGAUGAACAGCCACACUGGAACUGAGACACGGUCCAGACUCCUACGGGAGGCAGCAGUGGGGAAUCUUGCGCAAUGGGCGAAAGCCUGACGCAGCGACGCCGCGUGAGCGAUGAAGGCCCUCGGGUCGUAAAGCUCUGUGGGGAGGAAAGAAUAAGGGUAGGUUAAUAUCCUGCCUGAUGACGGUACCUCCUUAGCAAGCACCGGCU
rnacentral:rRNA from 1 species